ensembl:ncRNA C30G4.8 ncRNA
AAUAACCUUCGCGCUUAUCUGUCGGUACAAAAAACCGGGUCUGACUUUAUUGAUUACAGCAGAACGCGAUAGUGUAUGUCCUAAUUAUUGUUUCGCAGAAGCUGUGUUUUUAUUUCAUUUAUCUUGUGAUAAUACAUCUUCUUAAGAUG